rnacentral:ncRNA from 1 species
UUGUUGCGCUAGUAAUCCUGCUCAGUACGAGAGGAACCGCAGGUGCAGACAUUUGGUGCGUGUGCUUGGCUGAGGAGCCACUGGAGCGAGGCUACCAUCUGUGGGAUUAUGACUGAAUGCCUCUAACUCAGCCUCCUAGAUGGUAACAA